AACGAACGCUGGCGGCAUGCCUAACACAUGCAAGUCGAACGAGACCUUCGGGUCUAGUGGCGCACGGGUGCGUAACGCGUGGGAAUCUGCCCUUGGGUUCGGAAUAACAGUUAGAAAUGACUGCUAAUACCGGAUAAUGACGUAAGUCCAAAGAUUUAUCGCCCAAGGAUGAGCCCGCGUAGGAUUAGCUUGUUGGUGAGGUAAAGGCUCACCAAGGCGACGAUCCUUAGCUGGUCUGAGAGGAUGAUCAGCCACACUGGGACUGAGACACGGCUCAGACUCCUACGGGAGGCAGCAGUGGGGAAUAUUGGACAAUGGGCGAAAGCCUGAUCCAGCAAUGCCGCGUGAGUGAUGAAGGCCUUAGGGUUGUAAAGCACUUUUACCCGGGAUGAUAAUGACAGUACCGGGAGAAUAAGCCCCGGCUAACUCCGUGCCAGCCGCCGCGGUAACAC
rnacentral:rRNA from 1 species